ACAAGAGCUAAUGUGUAGACCGCUUGGAAAGAUGGUCAGCUGUAGGAAGCUUUGUCUGUUUCACUACGACUGAGUCUUACUCUUCCCACUGUAAGAUCGCUGAGGUUUGCUGAGGUCAUUUAUCGGUGCCAUCUACAGUAUGUACUGUACGCACAUGAGUGGACGUUUGCCUGCAAUUUUGGGACCAUGUGGACUGUGCACGCUCCAGGUUGGACAACAUUUUGAAGUAUUAUGGAUGUGUUGUGGAUGAGACUGAAGCAGACUCUCACUUUGGAACCACAGAUAAAUCCUGUUGGCGAGCUCUCUUCACGCUCCGUGGAAAUCCCCGUGUACAGGCUUGCCAGUACCAGACCAGUCGCCUGCAUGGUGUCACAAUUCAUGCGUGAGUGAUGCAGGGCUGAAACAAACACCACAGGGCAGAACAACCACUGGGCCAAAGUAAUCUGUGGUGCAGGACCUUGCCCCCUCGAUGCAUGUUCUCUCAACAUUUUUACCACAGCACUGGAAACCAAUCACCAUUUUCUGAAGUUUUGUUUGGCAAAAAUGUUGAUUAAACACACAUUUGUUGACUGUGCAUUGUAGUUUAUUAAUAUCAAAUAAAGAAAGGUAAAGCAGGA